AGGUGGGAUCCCGGGCGCGGUUCCUCAAAGCUUCCGAGCCCGGGCGCACCACCCGCCCGUCUCGCCCGCACCGUCGGGGAGGUGGAGCGUGANCNCGCGCGAUGGGACCCGAAAGAUGGUGAACUAUGCCUGGGCAGGGC
rnacentral:rRNA from 1 species